UUAUACUAUAAUAGGUAAAUAAACCAGAAAGGCUGUCAUGAGAUGAAUUGAAAUAAGCAUGAGGGAAUACUCGACAUAAGAUGAGCCAACAUGAUAUACCGACUUAUACAUAUGACGCACAGGCCUAUAAGACCAAAAUGAUCAUUUAUAUACUGAACAUACGCCGACAAGGUCAUACAUCUUUCAUAUACAUGACAUAUUUCUACAUGCCUCUAAAAGUAGAUAAAUACCAUAAAGGUCGGGACAUGGGCCUGCCAUACCAAUCAAUACAUGUCCAAAUCAUACUGACCAAAUAAGCAACUCCGGAGCAAAUGGAGCGCACCAACACCUUCCGCUGAGCUAAUAGCCUACUUGGAGGACUCUCAACCUGUUUAUCGGGACCUGCAGGCAUGAAAUACAGCGUCCCCAGGCAAAAGGGACGUCAGUACAAAUAAUGUACCGAGUAUGUAAGGAAUGAAAAUCAGUAAAUAAAAAAUACGAGAGAAACAUGGAGUAAAAGACUUAACAUGUAAGUCUGUAUAGCUCUGUGAAUCGUUUAAUAUUUAUAAUGUCGUGCAUAUGCGUAUAAAUAUUAUAUCAUGCAUAGUAUAUGCGUACAUAACAUCAUCAAGCCCUCUAAGAGCAUCCCAUCAUUUCAUCACGGCCACUGUGGAAAAAAUCAUCUACAUAUACCAGCUGAUCAGGUGGUGGUGCGUAUAUAACGCCGUAACCUUUUCCAAUAUAUCAUACAUAUAUAAUAUACGCGUAUAUAACACCUUCUGGUCAUGUGUCCAUGUACAUGUAUAAAUGAAUGAAAUGCAUAAUAAGUACGUUAAUAAGAUUUCUCGGAAUGUCACAAGAUCAAUAUGCCUUUGAUUAAUAUCAACUACGUAUUUUUCUGAGACCCAUGAACAGAAGAUAUAAUAAUAAUUCACAUAGGGAAUCAAGAACAUAGGCACCUCUAAUACUUCUAUGAAUAGAGUCAUUUAUGAUAGUAAUACAUUUGCUCGUUUCGUUUGUAUCGUAUGGAUCAUGCCAAAAGGAAAGAAGGGAUAGCCUUAACAUACCUGAGCCGAUUCUCUUGAUAACCCCUCUAACACACGUCAAUCACGAAAAAACACGUAACGACAAGAUCGAGGUAGGGAAAAAUCCGUAUGAUAUUGAUAUUCUUGAGAAAGGUUGUACUGUGCUCCCUUAGAAUUUGCAAUUCACGUUGCACCUUGUAGGGGUUCAUAAGAAUUCCUU
rnacentral:lncRNA from 1 species